CCUACGGGGGGCUGCAGUGGGGAAUUUUGCGCAAUGGGCGAAAGCCUGACGCAGCAACGCCGCGUGGGUGAUGAAGGUCUUCGGAUCGUAAAACCCUGUCGUCGAGGACGAAGGUGGGGGUGUUAAUAGCAUCCUUGCUUGACGGUACUCGGAGAGGAAGCCCCGGCUAACUCUGUGCCAGCAGCCGCGGUAAUACAGAGGGGGCAAGCGUUAUUCGGAAUUAGUGGGCGUGAUGGUUGAGGUCACGGGUGAAAGCCCCGGGCUGAACUUGGGAACUGCAUCUGUGACUGGAAGGCUAGAGUACUGGAGAGGGUGGUAGAAUUCCACGUGUAGCGGUGAAAUGCGUAGAGAUGUGGAGGAAUACCAGUGGCGAAGGCGGCCACCUGGACAGUAACUGACGCUGAGGCGCGAAAGUGUGGGGAGCAAACAGGAUUAGAUACCCUUGUAGUC
rnacentral:rRNA from 1 species